rnacentral:lncRNA from 1 species
ACAAGAAACCUAGGUGGGAAAAUUGAAGAAAAAGUGUGGGAUUUCAAGGAAUCAAGCAAUCAAAGGUAAAAUUUCUUGAUUUUGACUUGUGAUCUACCUUUCCCAUGCAUUUCUCCUUGUUUUCGAUGAUUAGAUUUCAUGUUUUCAUGGUGAAUUCAUGGCUGCCCAAAUGGGUGUGGAGAGAGAAUGAAGUUAGAUUAAUUUGAUUUUAAGUUAUAUUAAUGUUUUUAGUUAGUUUAGCAAAUUUAGAAACAAAACAACAAGAAAAGAAUUCAUUUUCCUCCAUUACCAUUAUUGGCCGAAUUUUCUAGGGGAAUAUUGGCUACUGAUCUUGAUGUUUAUUUGAGGAAUUAUGAUGAAUAAUGAUGAAUUAUGAGCCUAGAAAAAUAAUGGGAAUUUUCGAAGCAAAAAUACAAAUUUUUACCCACUAGGGGUAUUUUCGUAAUUUAUUAUCGAGACUGAUAAUUUGCACCACACUGAGGACUUUAAGUCAAUUUGGGUGCAAUUGAGGUAUAGAAACUGAAAGAAAUUGAUUUGGAGUUAAAAUUGGAGGUUUUAGCCAAUUACACCGAGAAAAGUGCGAAUUAGGUCGAAUAUCGUAUUUAAAUGGCUAUUCGAACAUUUUGCAACACAUAUCGUGCAUUCAUAUAGAUUUAGAGAGCCUGAAAUAAUUUAUGAGAAAUUGACACAAUUUAUUGAAAUUCGUGUCACGUAUGAUGUAUAGGUGGUGAGCCCUCUAACAAGAGUAAAGAGAUGGUGCCCGAAGACCGAGAAUAGGAGUAUAUCGAACUCCUAGUAUUGUGAGUAACCUUAUCAUCAUUUUAAUUAUCUAAAGUAUGAUUUUAAUCGAUUUUGGUGAAAUUUUAUGAAAAUGAGUUUAAAUGGUUAAUUUUUGGUUUUACA